rnacentral:lncRNA from 1 species
GCAACCUAAGCCACUGCUAAAUUAACCCACUGAGCCAGGCCAGGGAUUGAACCCACAUUGCUGCAGAACAACACUCAGUCCUUAACCCACUGUGCCACAGCAGGAACUCCCCACUGGGUGAUUUUGAAGAUUCGGUGAGAUAGAGAUUUAAGGCAUCUGUCAUUAAUGGGGGAAGUUGGUUCCUAUCAUUUUCCCAUUGUUUUUCCUUUCUGAUUAACAUUAUGAAUUGACAUGUUAAAAUACGUUUUAAAAAUAUUCUUGAGUCACAAAAAUCUGUGCGUAGUUUGACAUAUAUCAGGAUUGCUUCUGAGGGAGUAUGAAUGUACUGAGAUGUAAUUAUUUUUCUUUGUGUGAUUUGCAUGUCAUUUCAUGCUUGGGAAGAACAUUUUCUUUAGCUAGAGUUGGAUGCUUUAGGCCAUAGAGGUUUGGAAAUAAGAAAUUUGUAUUUAAGCAAUAGGGUGAAGGGAUGGUUCUAGUAAGUAUGGGCAAAUAUAACUCAGGUUCUGUGGGCAGUCAUUUUUGUUUUAUUAAGAAUUCCCAUCGUGGUGCAGCAGAAACGAAUCCGACGAGGAACCAUGAGCCACAAUGGGAACUCCAAGGUGUUUAAUUUCUUCAAGCCAUUCACAUGUUAACCUUUGACUGAUAAAGUGAUCUGCAAUGACUGGGGGCUCCUCUACCUUUAUUUAAAAAUAAUGAACUAAGUAGAAUUAUAACAUGGUAGACCUAGGUUAGGAAUAAAGACAUUUUUCCAUGAAUGAGAUCAUGUUUGUUUACAGUGUUACUGAGAAAUUUGUGGAAUUGCACUUGGCAGCCUUUUCUGAAAUAACUUAAGUUGGUUGUCUGUUAAGAUAAGGAAAAUGGGCCAUGUGACCAACCAGGGACGUUCCUUCCUUAACCUGGUGUCUAGGAAAAAUAUUUUGGAAGGAGAUGUGUGCUUUAAGAUGACUGUUUUCUUGGUGAAUUAUAUUGCAAGUCUGGCACAGUGUGCAGAAUAUUCCUUGGCAGGGCAGCUUUCAAGGCAGGUGCCCAGGGCACACCUAUGUGCCACAGAAGCAGACCUCUCUGUCUGCAGGCUCCUCCUGACUUGUUAGGACAAGACAAUGGCAGUAUUUGGAUCACAGAACUAAUGAUAAAGGAAAAGACCGACUAGUGAGAGGCCUUCUCUGCCAGGAGCAAAGUCCUCAUUUCAAUAGAAGUGUUAGGUUGCUUUAGAGCAGGAAGGGCUCUGCAGCUCUGAAAGAAAGGGCUCUGGGGACUCACAGCGACAUUUUCUCACUCUUUAUCUCUCCUUUCUCUCGGUCCACUGUGUGGACUGUCAAGCUUCCUUCACAUAGCUGGUUCCCUGCAGUCAAAUGUCACUGCCGUUUUCCUCUCCUUCCCACUCUGGUUUUGGUCUAUCACUGAUUUUUAAGCCCAUGAAUUAUGCCUUUUAUUCUCUUCUUUGCUUAGUGAGUCCCUUAAGGGAAGCAGCUUGCUGUGCUCUUUUAAAAGGAAGUAAAAAGGCAAGGGGCUGUUUCAGGAUGUGGUUCCUCCAUAAAGACUGCAGUUUGGUGCAUUUACAGAUGGAUCUACAUAUCGUUCUCUGUACACAUACUUUCUAGACAUAUAAAAAUAAAGGAUGCAAAAUGCUGAAGGUUGCAUUGUCAGAACAAGUAUUCUGAAUUUCACUCUUGAAAUACCAAGAAGAAAUUCAUUCCUCUAGAUUCCCACUUGGGAAAGAGAAUUUAAUUAAAAGGUCCUGUAGCAGCCCUUGCAGCAGUAAAUUAAGGAUUGAGAAGAACCCCUGGGUGAACACGGUCAUAUCUGUAAGAUUUGUUGGUAGCUUCCUGCAAGUCAUGAAGAUUAAGGAACAAGACAUUUUGAUAAUUAAGUAUGAAGUCUAUUAGCAUUGUUCGUUCAGUACUGAUAUUGAUAGGUGGUGUUAACUCACUGCUCCUCAUUCCCUGCCCUGACUUAACUGAAUGUAUUUGUGUGGCAACUGGUCAGGCAUGAGUUGACCAUGGGACAGCUCUGCAGUCCCAGAGCUGAGUGAUGCUAAGUGACCCUAACAGAGACCAUGUUUCCUGCUUUCACUAUGUGCUCAAGAGAAAGUGGAAAAUAUAUGUGAAAGAAAAUUCACAUUUUACAGCAAGACAAAAAACAUUUAAACAUAAAAAUUCCUCUCUGCCCUCUGACCUCCCCUCUCCCUCACCAUGCAUUAUGCAUCCACCAGACCUCCGCCAUCGGCAGGAAUACCUGCUCAACCAUAAACAGCAAUGUUUUCUUAGCAUCAACAAGACAGCUCCUUAAAAGAUAACAUCCCUUCUUGAUCUUGUAAGGUCACAUGAUCCGCCAGGAUGGCACUCAGAUCUGGAUUAUGUAAACUGUCAAUAUAUGACAUUUGAUGAACAGCAGUUUGUGUAACUGUGCCUUGUUUUCUAACCAGUGGAACAGUUCUCAGAGCUGAGAGGCUCUUCUCAGGUUAUAAUCCUCAAAUUUGGCUCAAAUAAAAUUUUCCAAUUCUUUCUUAGAUCGACUGAUUAAUUUUUCAUGGACAAUAAAACUCAAGAAGUUAAAACCAUUUUUUUAUGAUUAUGUUAGAAGAUCUAGUAUUUGGGGGUUCAGUAUAUUACCCAUUAACUUAAGCAUCCUAUUUGGAAACCUGGUCUAUAGCCUUAAGAAUGUUUCAUAUUAAUUAAACACUGGCAAAAUAUUAUUGUGUUAACAUCUUUUUAAUGUAAUUAAAUGAUCUAAACCUCUUGAAUAACAAGUAGAAACAUAGGCUUUUAGUUUUUAAAGCUGAGCUAGGGAGUUCCAGUUGUGGCUCAGUGUAACGAACCCAACCAGUAUCCAUGAGGAUGCCGAUUUGAUCCCUGGCCCCACUCAGUGGGUUAGGGAUCUGGUGUUGCCGUAGGUUGCAGACAUGGCUCAGAUCUAGUGUUGCUGUGGCUGUGGCUGUGGCUAGCAGCUAUAGCUCCAACUGGACCCCUAGCCUGGGAAUUUCUGUAUGCUGUAGGUGCAGCCUUGAUAAGAAAAAAUUUUUAAAAAUUUAAAAAUUUAAACAAUAAAAAGCUGAGCUAGAUAGGUAUGCUUUACAAAAAAAACCAACAACAAAAAAACCCCCAGUAAUUUCUAAUUAAAGUUGCAAGCUGGAAAUGCUUGUGAGACUGGAGAUUCCCGAUGAUGGUAGGACACACUCAAGUUUGAGAACUUCAGUAUUUUAAUACUGACAAGGAUAUCUGCUGAUAAAAUAUGUUAAAAUUUGACAAGUAAUAGAAGAAAAGAAAGCUAUAAAAUGUUGCUUGUUUUAUGAUCCUUGUUUCAGUAAGCUACCUCUGGUGGGAUUUUCAUGAUUUCAUGAUUUUGGUGGGAUUUAUCAUGAUUUUCAUGAUAGAUAACAAGGCAUUUCUUAAUUAUGGGCUUGCUUCCUACAAUAAAAGUGUUGCUCAAUAAAGUGUUUCUGCUUCAUUUAUGCUUUCUCCCAUAAAGCAUUCCAAAUGAAAGGUUAAUUUACCUGGCAUUCCCAAUCAUCCAUAAAAGGAAGUCCAACGUUAAAAAAAAAAAAAGAGUUAGUGAUUUUUUCAGGGCUAGUUCUAUCAGUAUUACCCAGAGGCCAUAAAUAGCAAGAUAAGAUCAAAAUGAUGGGCUCCCAGAGGAGACCAAACAGUAACCCUGAGAACAGUGGCUUCAGGGCUGAAGGGAGUGAGGGGCAGCUGACAUUCAGGCAGCUGCUGGUGACAAGUACGUCAACCACAAGUGGGAAGGCUUAGAGAAAAUACCUCCAAGAAUGUAUAAACUUUACCUCCAGUUCAUCUUCAAUUUUCUGCUUCAAAAAUGUGGCCUAAAUAUAAGCAAGUUGGGAUGAGAGCCCACAGGAAGCCAGCCUGUUAAACAAGGGCUGUGAGAGACAGGAAUCUAAGAGGCAGCUGAAAACAGUGGUGGUGGGAUCUGCAAAAGCUCUUGAGAAAAACCAGAAGAUGGAUACACAACAUGGAAGGUAGUGUUGCAAGGUCAUCAGCCUUUUCAGGGAAACCAGAGAGGGCAAUGGAAAGCACUGGGAAUGGGAAACAAAAGACCCAAGUGUUUUCUCAGCUCUGUCACUUGAAACACCGGGCAAGGUAAACAAGCUUUUUUUUUUUAAAGGAAAUGGUUGAGCUAAAGGAUUUCUAGGGUCCCUUUCCAAUGUAAUGCCAUCCUCUAAGCCACGCCUUGAUUAUACAAAAUGACUGUCAUUGGUACUUCAGAGUCACCUUUUAGUUAAUGGUUAUGUAUAUAUCACCUUUGCUUUUUUUGUAUGCCUACACAGUGGACUAUCAGUUGGCUUAACCCAAUCGAAAAUAAAUUCUCAGUGAACGCAACUACUCUUUGCACUUUUUUCACAUGUAACUCCUCCAUUAAUAUUACAACCUUAAUUUGCUUUUUGUCAUAUAAAAGUAUAUAUAUAGUUUACAUAUAUAUUUUACAUAUAUAUAUUUACAAAUAAUACAUAUUAUUUAGUUCUGUCUAAAAGCUCAAUAUAUAAAAUUUUACUAAGAGAAUGCAAACCAAAAUAGGUCCUCUCGUCAUGGAAACACAGUCUGGAUGAAGAGUAAAUGUAUAGCAUUGAGUUUGAUUAGGUUUGAUUAGCAUUGAGUUUGCCCAGAGGCUUAGCUUGGCAGAGCAGGGGCAGGGUUGAGAACAGGACAAGAACCGAGAGAGAUUCCCAAUAUUUAUUUGGUUUGUCACAAGUUCCCAAAGUUAAGAAGAUCCAUUACCCAAGAUCAGUAAACUUUACCUAGCUACAGAAAAGGGAUGAAUUGAGGUCACAAUUCAUUGCGAAUUAUCUUUUCUCUGCAUAGGCUUGGAUCAAAAUAUUCAAAUUCAGAGAUAGAGAAAUAAAAAGAAAUUUGUUUUUUUGACUAGUAAUGUAUAGAAAAGAAUGUUCUUUAACUUAUGCCAUUUACCCCUUGAAUCACUGCUUUCAUAGGAAAGCCCAAGUCAGCGUUAAGCUCCCAUUUGCAUCUAAGAAAUAAUGGUAACAUAUUCCUAAAAAUAUGUCAACAGUGGGAGGAUUCUGGGGGAGCAGGAGGGAUAGUCAGAAACCAAAUUCUUAGAGUGGUCCUCCAUAAUUUUGGUGGAAGCACAGAUGGAUCUCUUAAAAUAUUAGAGCAGGGCCCUAUAUUUUGUUACAAGUUUCAUGGCAUUAAAACCCAAGAAUCCUUCUGCUAUUGCCCAAAACUAAAAUAUUGAAGACAACUUUCUUUUUUGUGUGGCUUUCAUUUGGGGGCCCAGAAAUGAUAUUUAAAUUGAAAUCCUUCUAUGAAAGAUAGCAUGGUAAGAUAGUACUAACAAUAGCCCUUGCAGGGACUGAUUAAAUAAUUUUCUUAUGAAUAUAAGAAUAAGAUGAGAAAAAAGGACAACUAUGUUUUGAUGUGGAAGGUUGUAAGCCACAGUGUGGCUUCCCUGAAACUUUUUCCUGUUUAUUCCAAGGAAAACAUUAAUUAUAUCUUGCAUUGUUCUCAUGGCAUCUUGCAUAUAACUAAAUGGUUAUGAUAAUAUGUCAUAUAAUAUGAUUACAUUAAGAUGUUCUCCCAUCCCUGUCUCCCACAUUAGAAAUGAUGCCUUCAAGAUCAUACUGGUUAGAGAUGGGAUUAAGAUGACAGAAUAGACGAGCUGGAGCUCAACUUCUCCCCUGAAAACAACAAAAUUCACAACUAAAGGUUGAGCAAUCUUCAACCAAAUUCACUGGAAACCUUAAAAAAGAUAUCCUACUCCAGAAGACAAAGAGGAGGCCACAUCAAGAGGUAGGAGGGGCGAUUACACAAUAUAAACAACCCCAUACGUCCUGGGUGGGAAGCCCCACAGACUGGAAACUAACUGGUUCACAGAGACUCACCUACAUGAGUGAGAAUUCUGAGCCCCACAUAAAACUCCCACGUGUGGGGAUCUGGCACUGGGAGAAAGAGCCCCUGGAGCAUCUGGCAUCGAUGGCUAGUGGGGCUUGUGCACAGGAGCUCCACAGGACUGGGGGAAACCGAGACCCCAUUCUUAAAAGGCGCACACAGACCUUCACAUGCACUGGGUCCCAGGGCAAAGCAAAGUCUCCAUAGGAAUCUGGGUCAAACCUGACUGCAGUCCUUGGAGGAUAUCCUGGGAAAACAGGGGUGAAUGUGGCUUGUUGUGGAGGAAAGGCAUUGGAGGCAAACCUCUCAGGAAUAGUCAUCAGCAUGCCUUUCUCUGGGGUGGCCAUUUUGGGAAAAUCUGGCCCCACCCAGCAGUCAGCACUGAGAAGCUCCAGGGCAAACAACAAUCCAGGUGGGAUCACAGCCCUGCCCCUCAGUAAACAGGCUGCCUAAAGACCCCUCAGGCAAAUAGCUGCCUCUACUCCCAUCCAGAGUCUAAGCCCCAGCCACUAGCAGGAUUAGAAUCAGCUCCACCUACUAGGGGGCAGGCAUCAGCCCCUCCCAUCAGGAAGCCUACAGCAAGCCCCCAUACAAACUUCAGCCACAAGGGGGGAAGACACCAGAAGUAAGAGAGGCUACAACUCUAUUAUCUGUAAAAAGGUCACCACACCAAAAACCUAUAAAAAUGAAAAGACAGAGAGCUGUAACUCAGAUGAGGGAGAAAGGAAAAACCCCAGAAAAUCAGCUAAGUGAUGAAGAGAUUCUCAGCCUCCAGGAAAAAGAAUGUAGACUCUUGAUGCUGAAGAUGACGCAAAACAUUGGAAAUAAACUGGAGGCAAAGAGGGAUAACUU